rnacentral:rRNA from 1 species
CAGCAGCCACGGGAAUACGAAGGGGGCUAGCGUUGCUCGGAAUCACUGGGCGUAAAGGGUGCGUAGGCGGGUCUUUAAGUCAGGGGUGAAAUCCUGGAGCUCAACUCCAGAACUGCCUUUGAUACUGAAGAUCUUGAGUUCGGGAGAGGUGAGUGGAACUGCGAGUGUAGAGGUGAAAUUCGUAGAUAUUCGCAAGAACACCAGUGGCGAAGGCGGCUCACUGGCCCGAUACUGGCGCUGAGGCACGAAAGCGUGGGGAGCAAACAGGAUUAGAUACCCGCGUAGUCCCUGUCUCUUAUAC